CAAGUCAUGUGCUCAAGAUGGCUAUGCUCAAGAUGAAAACAAGUUUGACAUGAUGACAUCCUCCGCUUAUCAAGAAUUGAAAGAAAGGCUUUGGUUUGAUGGAAGCUUCUCAAGUGGUUUCAUUUUUUAUUUAUCUUUUGAUCUUGAGUUGAUAGGAAAGCCGUACUAUUAAGAGGGAUGCAUCAUGAUCAUAGAUUAAUACUCUCUAGUGCUCAAGUCAACCCAUGUGAGGUCUUAGAGAGACUAACCUGAGAGCUGAA
rnacentral:lncRNA from 1 species